ensembl:lncRNA
GGGGUAUACAAAGCUUUCUAAAAAAGCUUUCUUCUUUUCAUCAUUCAUACACUCCGAGGUUGUAGCAAGCAGUUUUUGUUUAUUUAAAGGAAAAAAUACUAUGAAUGAGCAUAAUUACAUUGCUGUGUAAUAAUUGCAACCCAGCUAGGUUCGUUUUCUCUAAUAUCAAGUUAUACCUGCUGUAAUCAGACAAACAGAAGACUGUCACUAAUUCUGUCAAUCAUCAAGCUUGGCUCCCUGAGCAGUCGCAUGCCUGAGCAAUCAGUGGAGAGACGGGCUUCUCACCGCCGUCCAAGCAUUAACACACAGUUAUAAAGUAACCUGUGGGGACAGUCACCAUGGAAACUUACCUCAUUACGCCAAAACCGAGAAAUAUAAAGCAGGAGAGGGGGGCACGCACCUGCCAUUUUACAACACAACUUUGCAGGAGUUUCAUUUUGUACAGUUAAGCAGAACUAAGGGGGAAUACUCUUUGUUUAGGCUAAGUCAAAACAUAACCGAACAAUUUAACCGGAUCGGAUGCAAGUGGACAUUUUUGAAGAAUACAUACCCUCAUCUUCAGUAUUACAUAUUUAACCAUAUGUAUGGACACCUGGAUACAACAUUCAGAUGGAGUGAGGAUUUAGGCCUGGAUUAUACCCUGGAAAGCAGGACAAGAAAUGGAGUUUAAUGCAGUUCCUUGAGGAACCUUUUUUUAUAUAUAACUUACCUUGGCUUGAAAAAUAAAUGCAACAUGGGGAACAGCAACUCCAGGCCAAAGAUUUGCCAAGUUGCACCAUCUCAUAGUCAACCAAUGGAGGAUAAGCCUUCACUGUUUCCAACCUCACCAUGGAUGAUUACUGCUGAUAAAGGUACAGAGAUGCAAGAGAAAAGGAUUGUGGGACAGAGGAAGAACAACCAUCUGCCUUCUUCAACAGGAAGGCACAAAAUACCUAAUUCUGUUCAUUUAGAACCAGGAUCUCUGUGUCUGAGUGUCUGUGAUAAAACUGAUCACAACAUUAUUAAGUCUCAUCCACCACAACCAGCACAGGACAGGGAAUGGAGAGAUGGGCCUGUCCGCUGCUGUUCCACUCCCAGCCUGGGAGGGCACUGUGGCACCAUCAAAACACUACAGGGACACAUGAAAGGUCUCCUGCGGGCACAGAUGAUGCUCAGUCGCCAAGCAACCAAGAAGCGGCAAGCUCAGCAGAGGUGCUUUAGGAAAAGUCGAGGGGAACAGAAGAGGGUGUACACCUCUUAUCUGGAAGGAGGACAGAGGGUUUGUCUUGUGUCCAGGCCAAUGCAACAAAACAUCUUCUGUGAUGAGUCUGAAGGACAGAUUCUGGAUGUAAGGGAGCUGUUGCAGCCAAGUCCACAGGUGACAGACCCAAACAUGGAAGAUACAAUGAGUGGCAAACCACUAAUGAAAAAUGGAAUUAAAAGACCAGAAAUGUAG